rnacentral:rRNA from 1 species
GACGAACGCUGGCGGCGUGCUUAACACAUGCAAGUCGAACGGUCAACCUCUUCGGAGGGGAUCAGUGGCGUACGGGUGAGUAACACGUGGGCAACCUGCCCCCGGCUCUGUGAUAACUCCAAAAAAUUGGGGCUAAUACCCGAUGUUCACCGCUUCCCUCAUGGGGGGUGGUGGAAAGGGUUUCCGGCUGGGGCUGGGCCCGCGGCCGUUCAGCUGGUUGGGGGGGUAGUGGCCUACCAAGGCGACGACGGGUAGCCGACCUGAGAGGGUGACCGGCCACACUGGGACUGAGGCACGGCCCAGACUCCUACGGGAGGCAGCAGUGGGGAAUAUUGCGCAAUGGGCGGAAGCCUGACGCAGCGACGCCGCGUGGGGGAUGACGGCCUUCGGGUUGUAAACCUCUUUCAGCAGGGACGAAGCGCAAGUGACGGUACCUGCAGAAGAAGCACCGGCCAACUACGUG